AACUGCGGAAGGAUCAUUG
rnacentral:rRNA from 5 species